UAUCCAUGGUGUGGGCAUUACAAUAAAAGUGAUUUGAAGCGAUCACAUGCUACACAAAAGGACUCCACAUCCUUUUGGUAAAAGUUAGAGAACUUAAUUCUUUGGUC
rfam:Ricinus communis cultivar Hale ctg_1100012285104, whole genome shotgun sequence.